GUUAAAUAUUUAUGUACACAGUGUGGAAGGUUUUCAGAAAAUACCAGAAGUUAACUCUCGUAUCUCUGGAAAUACUGAGAAACAGACGGAUAACCAUGGAUGAAGAAGCAUGGGUGCAAAGUGAUAACCUUUCAAGCUGGCAAGUCCCCAGAAAUUCAGUCCGAAUUGAUCCUGAAACUAAACCACAGGCCACCAUGCACUCCGCUGUUCUACCAGGCAGUGUUAUUGAUUAUCCAGAGGACGUACAGGAACAUCCUUCCUGUGUGAUUGAAAGCGUCGUGGAAGACACACCUGAGGAGGCACUUUUGUUAACAGACAGAGGGGGAAACUCAUGGUGGCACAAGCUUGGAAUGAAUAUAAACAAGUGGUCAUUUCUGAAUUCCUUGAUUGGAUGGAGUGAAGACAGAACUCAAGAAAAAGAUCAGUUUACCACAUCUGGAGUUUGUUCUGCUGCUGAUCACAAAGAAACUGAGUUGGAGGAAUGUGCAACCAAAGAAGUGCCAUACAUUCCAUACAGCUUAGCUACACUGCAUAUCAUCAAGAUUGUAAAAGACAUGCAGCAAAUGAAAAACAGACACAUGAAGAUAAUCAAAAAACUAGAUGAUAUAAGGAAAGAAAAGCAGGAGGAGACUGUAACUACUAUAAAGAAACAUUACAGUGAGAAAAUUAGGUGUCUGAAAUUCCAGUUAGAAGCUUACCAAGAGCUGAUGAACAAGAGCAACAUACACUGGCAAGAUACAGUUAAGAACUUGAGAGACAAAAACAGACAACUGACACAAGAGAAAGAAGAUCUUCUUUACCAAAUGAAACAAAGAACAGAGAACUGGAGAAAAGAAAAGGUCUGGAUUCUAGAAAAUUUGUGUAAAAAGCUAGAUUUCCUUUAUACACAGCACACACUAACUUUACAGGAACUACACAACAUCAGUUUACAUGUGGAAAGAUUGCAAGAUCUCAUGAAUUUCCAGAUAAAAAUUCAACAAAAGUCUGAAAAGGAAGAUGGAGAAAAUUCAGAUGUGUCAGAGGUUUUAGUAUUAAAAACAGACCAAAUAGCUAAUGAAGAGCAGAAGACUGUCUGGUCAGUGGAAAAGCGGUAUCUUUGGCAAGCACACACCAUCCUGCAGGAGAUACAAGAAUCUUUACACAAACGAGAGAGGGAAGUCACUGAGCUCUUAGAAAGUGAGAGAAGAUUUAACAAGGCAAUGAAACCUCAAGUGACAGUGUUAAUAUUCUUAAAAUCUCUUAUCAAGAUGGUUCACACCAUAUAUUGUGAUGUCCCUGGGGCACAGCAAUGCAUCCAUCAGCUUAUCAGGAAGAACAAGGAUGAAAGACCUGAUCUAGAAGAAGUUUUUAAUAAUGCUCAGGCUGAUAUUCUGUCCCAUGAAAUAUUUUGUGGAAAUGAACUUAUGGAGGAAACAAGACAGGAGAAAUCCCCAACUGGAUUAAAAGGGAUUGUCUAUGUGUAGCCUGGUCAGGUAAGAAAUCUUCCUGUCAAAUCACAGAAGUUUAACUAUCCUCACCCAACUUAUGUAACUUUUGAAUACAUAAAACAGCAUGCCAUGCCUUAAGGGUUUCCAUGCCACAUCUUCUAUUUUGUG
rnacentral:lncRNA from 1 species